GCGGAAGUGGUGAAAUUGGUAUACACGCAGCCUUGAGGUGGCUGUGGGAGAAAUCCCGUGUGGGUUCGAGUCCCUCCUUCCGCA
rnacentral:tRNA from 1 species